AUUGAACGCUGGCGGCAGGCCUAACACAUGCAAGUCGAACGAGUGGCGGACGGGUGAGUAAUGGCUGGGAAACUGCAUGAUGGAGGGGGAUAACUGAUGGAAACGGUAGCUAAUAACGCAUACCAUCGGAUGUGCACAGAUGGGAUUAGCUAGGUGGUGGGGUAAAGGCUAACCUAGGCGACGAUCCCUCGCUGGUCUGAGAGGAUGACCGGCCACACGGGAACUGUGACACGGUCCAGACUCCUCCGGGAGGCAGCAGUGGGGAAUAGUGCACAAUGGGCGCAAGCCUGAUGCAGCCCUGCCGCGUGUAUGAAGAAGGCCUUCGGGUUGUAAAGUACUUUCAGCGGGGAGGCGUUACCCGAAGAGGAAGCACCGGCUAACUCCGUGCCAGCAGCCGCGGUAAUUC
rnacentral:rRNA from 1 species